rnacentral:rRNA from 1 species
AUGAACGCUGGCGGCGUGCCUAAUACAUGCACGUCGCGCGCACGGACGAGAAGCUUGCUUCUCUGAUGUUAGCGGCGGACGGGUGAGUAACACGUGGAUAACCUACCUAUAAGACUGGGAUAACUUCGGGAAACCGGAGCUAAUACCGGAUGAUAUUUUGAACCGCAUGGUUCAAAAGUGAAAGACGGUCUUGCUGUCACUUAUAGAUGGAUCCGCGCUGCAUUAGCUAGUUGGUAAGGUAACGGCUUACCAAGGCAACGAUGCAUAGCCGACCUGAGAGGGUGAUCGGCCACACUGGAACUGAGACACGGUCCAGACUCCUACGGGAGGCAGCAGUAGGGAAUCUUCCGCAAUGGGCGAAAGCCUGACGGAGCAACGCCGCGUGAGUGAUGAAGGUCUUCGGAUCGUAAAACUCUGUUAUUAGGGAAGAACAUAUGUGUAAGUAACUGUGCACAUCUUGACGGUACCUAAUCAGAAAGCCACGGCUAACUACGUG